rnacentral:rRNA from 1 species
GAUAAACGCUGGCGGCGCACAUAAGACAUGCAAGUCGAACGGACCGAAUUAGUUUGUUUACAAAUUAAAGAGGUUAGUGGCGGACUGGUGAGUAAUACGUAAGCAACCUGCCUAUUAGAGGGGAAUAACAGUGAGAAAUCACUGCUAAUACCGCAUAUGCCAUAAUCACCACAUGGUGGAAGUGGGAAAGGAGCAAUCCGCUAAUAGAUGGGCUUACGCCUGAUUAGUUAGUUGGUGGGGUAACGGCCUACCAAGACGACGAUCAGUAGCCGGACUGAGAGGUUGAACGGCCACAUUGGGACUGAGAUACGGCCCAGACUCCUACGGGAGGCAGCAGUCGGGAAUUUUGCGCAAUGGAGGAAACUCUGACGCAGUGACGCCGCGUAUAGGAAGAAGGUUUUCGGAUUGUAAACUAUUGUCGAUGAGGAAGAUACAAGACUGUACUCAUCAAGAAAGCUCCGGCUAACUACGUG